AUGAACGCUAGCUACAGGCUUAACACAUGCAAGUCGAGGGGCAGCAUGAACUUAGCUUGCUAAGUUUGAUGGCGACCGGCGCACGGGUGAGUAACACGUAUCCAACCUGCCGAUGACUCGGGGAUAGCCUUUCGAAAGAAAGAUUAAUACCCGAUGGCAUAGUUCUUCCGCAUGGUGGAACUAUUAAAGAAUUUCGGUCAUCGAUGGGGAUGCGUUCCAUUAGGUUGUUGGCGGGGUAACGGCCCACCAAGCCUUCGAUGGAUAGGGGUUCUGAGAGGAAGGUCCCCCACAUUGGAACUGAGACACGGUCCAAACUCCUACGGGAGGCAGCAGUGAGGAAUAUUGGUCAAUGGACGAGAGUCUGAACCAGCCAAGUAGCGUGAAGGAUGACUGCCCUAUGGGUUGUAAACUUCUUUUAUACGGGAAUAAAGUGAGGCACGUGUGCCUUUUUGUAUGUACCGUAUGAAUAAGGAUCGGCUAACUCCGUGCCAGCAGCCGCGGUAAUACGGAGGAUCCGAGCGUUAUCCGGAUUUAUUGGGUUUAAAGGGAGCGUAGGCGGACGCUUAAGUCAGUUGUGAAAGUUUGCGGCUCAACCGUAAAAUUGCAGUUGAUACUGGGUGUCUUGAGUACAGUAGAGGCAGGCGGAAUUCGUGGUGUAGCGGUGAAAUGCUUAGAUAUCACGAAGAACUCCGAUUGCGAAGGCAGCUUGCUGGACUGUAACUGACGCUGAUGCUCGAAAGUGUGGGUAUCAAACAGGAUUAGAUACCCUGGUAGUCCACACAGUAAACGAUGAAUACUCGCUGUUUGCGAUAUACAGUAAGCGGCCAAGCGAAAGCGUUAAGUAUUCCACCUGGGGAGUACGCCGGCAACGGUGAAACUCAAAGGAAUUGACGGGGGCCCGCACAAGCGGUGGAGCAUGUGGUUUAAUUCGAUGCAACGCGAAGAACCUUACCUGGUCUUGACAUCCACGGAAGUUUUCAGAGAUGAGAAUGUGCCUUCGGGAACCGUGAGACAGGUGCUGCAUGGCUGUCGUCAGCUCGUGCCGUGAGGUGUCGGCUUAAGUGCCAUAACGAGCGCAACCCUUAUCGAUAGUUACCAUCAGGUUAUGCUGGGGACUCUGUCGAGACUGCCGUCGUAAGAUGUGAGGAAGGUGGGGAUGACGUCAAAUCAGCACGGCCCUUACGUCCGGGGCUACACACGUGUUACAAUGGGGGGUACAGAAGGCAGCUACACGGCGACGUGAUGCUAAUCCCGAAAGCCUCUCUCAGUUCGGAUUGGAGUCUGCAACCCGACUCCAUGAAGCUGGAUUCGCUAGUAAUCGCGCAUCAGCCACGGCGCGGUGAAUACGUUCCCGGGCCUUGUACACACCGCCCGUCAAGCCAUGAAAGCCGGGGGUACCUGAAGUGCGUAACCGCGAGGAGCGCCCUAGGGUAAAACUGGUGAUUGGGGCU
rnacentral:rRNA from 1 species